rnacentral:rRNA from 1 species
GUCUGCAGCCAUACCACCCUGAACGCGCCCAAUCUCAUCUAAUCUCCGAAGCUAAGCAGGGUCGGGCCUGGUUAGUACUUGGAUGGGAGGAAUGAUGUAGUUCUGAUU